rnacentral:misc_RNA from 1 species
UAAUAAGUGUUUUAUGGCACUUUUUAAAUCCAUAUCCACCUUGUGUGCAAUGUCAGUCGAUCUUCUUCUUGGAGAUCGACCAAACAUCAACCUUUAUCUUUUAACUCUUUGUCUGAAAAAUAUUAUGAAUAAACAAUUCAAAAUA